rnacentral:rRNA from 1 species
GGACGUAAGUCCCUGAAGGUCCGUGGAAGACCACCACGUUGAUAGGCUGGGUGUGGAAGCGUGGCAACACGUGAAGCUGACCAGUACUAAUCGACCGUGAGGCUUGGUCAUACAA